AUUAGGUCACAAAGGCUCCGCCCCCAGUGGUUGCCAUGGCUGCGUGAGCAGCUGCGGGGCGGUGACGUCACGGGGUGAUAGGUCAGAGGGGCUGUGCGCGCUGGAAGAGGCGCAAUGGCCGCGUUCGUGGGGCUGCCGCUCCGCUCGGUACCGAUGUUGUUGCUGCUGUUGGUUGUGGCCGGGACCGCGCGGGGGGAGACGCUGUACGGGCCGGAGGAUUCUGUCACCAUCCUGAAUAAGGAGUCGGUGGCGCGGGCUGUGUUUAACUCUUCCUCUGCCUGGCUCCUCGAGUUCUACUCGUCCUGGUGCGGACACUGCAUCAACUACGCCCCCACCUGGAAGGCCCUGGCCCGGGAUGUGCGCGACUGGGAACCAGCCAUAAAGAUUGGGGUGUUGGACUGCGCCGAGGAGGACAAUUAUGGGGCCUGCAAAGACUUUGGUGUCACCUUAUAUCCCACCUUUCGGUUCUUUAAGGCCUUCACCAAGGAGUUCACACAAGGAGAGAAUUAUAAAGCCGUAGGUGACCGGGAGAUCCAGACCGUCCGGCAAGUGAUUAUCGAUUUCCUUCAAACGUCCCCAGCGGAAAGUAAGCCACAGGCCUGGCCCUCGUUGGAGCCCAUUAGUUCAAGUGAAAUUUCGUCUCUUCUUACCCAAAAACAAUCCCACUACACCGCCAUCAUCUUUGAAAGCGAAGAGUCUUACGAAGGGCGCGAGGUGAUCUUAGAUCUGAUCCAGUACAGUAACAUAGUGGUGAGGAGAGCGCUGCCUUCUGAUAAGCCCAUCCUGGAGAAACUGGGUAUCGGCUCCGUCCCUUCGUGUUAUUUGAUCCAACCAAAUGGCUUGCAUGGAUUAAUUAACGAUGUAAAAUCCAUCCGGUCCCAGCUUUCCUUGCACUUGAAGGCUCUAUCCAAUGUAAGGAAGCUGCUGCCAUCCGAAACCGCACAUUCAGGACUGAGCAAAGGUGUGCAGCAGGAAGACACGACCAUGAACCAGUUUGAUAGAUCCAAACUGUAUAUGACAGACCUGGAGUCAGGCUUACAUUACAUUCUCCGGGCAGAAUUGGCCAAUCACCACACACUGGAGGGUGAGAAACUCAAGACGUUUAAGGACUUUGUUACCAUCCUUUACAAGCUAUUUCCCGGGAGGCCACAUGUGAUGAAGCUUCUUGAGACACUGCAGGAAUGGCUGGUUAGCAUGCCGUUGGACACGAUCCCUUAUGACGCUAUCCUGGAUCUGGUCAACAAUAAAAUGCGGAUCUCUGGGAUAUUCCUUACUAAUCACACCCAGUGGGUUGGGUGCCGAGGCAGUAAGUCCAACCUUAGGGGCUACCCAUGCUCCCUGUGGAAGCUCUUCCACUCUCUGACUGUUCAGGCUGCUGUCAAACCGGAUGCCUUGGCAAACACUGCAUUUGAAGCUGAACCCCGGGCUAUCCUGCAGACCAUGAGGCGAUACAUACGGGAGUUUUUCGGUUGUCGAGAAUGUGCCAAGCAUUUUGAGGCAAUGGCAAAGGAAACUGUGGACAGUGUUAAAACGCCAGACCAGGCGAUCCUUUGGCUGUGGAGGAAGCACAAUGUGGUCAACAACAGACUUUCUGGAGCCCCUAGUGAAGACCCCAAGUUUCCAAAGGUCCAGUGGCCGACCUCUGACCUGUGCUCUGCUUGCCACAGCCAGACUGGUGGGGUGCACAGCUGGAAUGAAGAUGAGGUGCUUGCUUUUCUAAAACGCUACUAUGGCAACCAGGAGAUUUCCUUGGAAUUUGCCGACCCGAGAAAGGACCUCAGUGAAGCCGCCACUGACAAUGGCAAUAAAGAGCCGCAUUUCACCAAGAAACCCCAAGAAAGAGACGAUGUCAAGAAGCAAAACCCCCAAUUUCUGGAUAAACUUGUUCAGAAAAAGCCAGAGAAAAGUCUAGAUUCUGAGGCUGCAGAAAGCAGUCAGUCUGUCAGUUUCCUAGGGAUCGGCUUCUCCAAUAUAGACAUGAGCCUGUGCGUCAUCUUAUAUGUCACCUCUUCCUUAUUUUUAAUGAUCAUGUUCUUUUUCUUCCGGUUCCGCUCGAAGAGGUGGAAAGUUCGAUACAACCGACCUUUUGUGUAAAUCUAUUGAUUUUCUUUGUUUUAAAUGGGAAAACGUGAAGGUUUUCAGACUGCCGAGUUCUACUUCAUGUGGCUUUAUUAUUUGUGAAGAUCAGGGAUUUUUGAAGACAUUUUAGAUUUUAAGUUAUUUCCUUUUGGAGUUCAUUAUUUUGUUUUUUUUUUGUUUUUCUUUUUUAGAACUGUCUAAAAGAUUUUGGUGGUGCCAUACUUGAACUAUUUAUCAAGAUUUGUCUUUAUCCUUCAAGGGUUAUUCUAGGGACAGCAGCAGCAUGGACAGUAGCUUUCAACUUGCUGAAAUGGAUCUGGCUAUUGUCUGCCACCAGCUACGAAUUUCACGUGUGGGACGGGUCACCUACAACCACCCCUUAAAAAGAGGAAGGAGACCUGGGCCCCACUGCGAACUCUGGGUCUGCUUCACCACUGUUUAAGGGUGACAUUUUAGUCCAGUCGUAUAAUUACUACAGAUUUGGGGAGAUUUCCCAGCCAAUAGGAGCGAGUCUGGAUCAGAGAUACCCACAUGACGCUUGGCCAGAUCACUGAGAAGAUAUGUAAUUCCUUGCAGUUCCAAGCCAGACACUGAUGUCAUGGGAAAAUCAGAUUGGAACAGUUUUUCCUUUUGGCUGAUGUUUGAUUGGCUAAACUGAUCCGAGGGGGGGGGUGGGAAGGACCACUUGGACGUGAGUUCAAAAAUGGAAUAAAUUACACUAUAAAUGAUUGCUUUGUGGUCUGAUUAACAGAGAGUAUUACCUACAGAAUUUAAGUCACUUCUCUAUCCAGUCAUUAUUUAUCGAGCAGUGACUGACCUGGUCAAACAAAAAAAAUUACCUAAGGGUAAUUUGCACUUCUGCUAAGGUCUUUGGACUUCGUGCAGCCAUCCAUGAUAGUAGCUACAGCUAUUACUCCAUGCAUUCCCAAAUGCCUAUUUCUUUUCCUUCGGUAAUAGCUUCUGAUUUAAGAUUUUUGUGUUAGAGUGACCAAAAAAUUGUAAUGUAAAUAGCUAUCCUGCUUCUCCUUGCCCAGUGGACCUUUGCUUCUCUCUGUGCUGAUAAUGUUGCCUUUGUAAUUAGUCAACUUCCCAUUUAAGGUUGGGGUUAUGGCAGUUGUUUGUUUGAACGGGGAUUUUGUGGUUUACACAGAUGUAGUAGUAGUCUGACUAGUAACAAAAACCCUUGUGUACAGAAGGGACCCUUAAAAAACCCAAAGGGCAUCUAUUUAGGGAAUAAGUAAUCUAUGGGAGAAAGUAAGGGAAAGCUGCUAUUCUAACUUUUAUUUGCCACAAUCCCAGUGUUUUCCUUGCCCUUGUGUUAAAAUCCAUUGUGCCCUGCAGAGUUUUGGAAGUCUUAAUGAGUUUUUGUUCUGCUUAUAAUACUCAAGUGCCUCUUAAUUACAUAGCUGACAUUCACUUUUGGCAAAAUCGACUUCAGAGAAACUAAACAUGGUUGUGCCACUCACACUGGGACAUAUUGAGUAAGGCAUAUAUUGUAUUUAUUUCUCUUUACAUAUAGUGUAUAGUAUGAGGGAAUUGGUUAUUAUGCCUACCAGCUUGAUAAAUCCACGACAAAACAGUAAUAAACAGUUCAAAUUUA